UACGAGAGGACCGGGAUGGACGGACCGCUGGUGUAUCUGUUGGCAACCAAUGCCAUGGCAGAGUAGCCAAGUCCGGCAGGGAUAAACGCUGAAGGCAUCUAAGCGUGAAGCCCCCCUCAAGAUGAGAUAUCCCUACCAUAAGGUAAUAAGACCCCUGAGAGACUAUCAGGUAGAUAGGGCCUAAGUGUAAGCGUAGUGAUACGUUCAGCGGAAGGUUACUAAUAGGUCGAAGGCUUGUCCU
rnacentral:rRNA from 1 species